CCACAGCAUCCCAAAAACAUCCCAAAUCCUUCCCUAAACUCUGCUUUCUGCUGAAGUCACAGAAGAAAUUGAGUCUAAGUCACUUUUUAUCUGAAAUAUUUCAGCCUGGGGUAAGGGAAAGGAAGGAGUUUCUCUUCCUAUUUUUCUGGACUUGGCAGAUUUGUGCAGGAAAUAAAAUUAAAAAGAAAGAGAAACUGCCUGAAGUGAAAGGGAGGAGAGGAAAUCUUGUUUAUAGCUGGUUCUAAACCUGGUUUUAGGGAAAAUUAAGUACCUGAAGUGAAAGAAAUGAGAGAAAAUAAUGCUUAGAGCUGGUUCUAAACCAGGUUUUAGGGCAAAUUAACUGCCUGAAGUGAAAGGGGGGAAAGGAAAUAUUGCUUAGAUCUGGUUCUAAACCUGGUUUUAGGGCAAAUUAGCUGCCUGAAAUGAAAAGGAGGGAGGAAAUAUUGCUCAGAGCUGGUUUUAAACCAGAUUUUAGGGAAAAUUAAUGCCUGAAUUGAAAGGGGGGAAAGGAAAUUUUGCUUAGGGCUGGUUUUAAACCAGGUUUUAGGGAAAGUUAACUGUCUGAAAUGAAAGGAAGGAGAUGAAAUCUUGUUUAGAUCUGGAUUUAAACCAGGUUGUAGGGAAAGUUAACUGCCUAAAGGGAAAAGGAGGGAGGAAAUCUUGUUUAGAGCUGGUUCUAAACUUGGUUUUAGGGAAAGUUUCCUGCCUGAAGUGAAAGGAAGGAGAGGAAAUCUUGCUUAGAGCUGGUUUUAAACCUGGUUUUAGG